rnacentral:rRNA from 1 species
UUUUUAUGGAGAGUUUGAUCCUGGCUCAGAGUGAACGCUGGCGGCGUGCUUAACACAUGCAAGUCGAACGAGAACGGCCC